UUUGAUCCUGGCUCAGAUUGAACGCUGGCGGCAGGCCUAACACAUGCAAGUCGAGCGGCAGCACGGGAAGCUUGCUUCCUGGUGGCGAGCGGCGGACGGGUGAGUAAUGCAUAGGAAUCUGCCCGGUAGUGGGGGAUAACCUGGGGAAACCCAGGCUAAUACCGCAUACGUCCUACGGGAGAAAGCAGGGGCUCUUCGGACCUUGCGCUAUCGGAUGAGCCUAUGUCGGAUUAGCUGGUUGGUGAGGUAAUGGCUCACCAAGGCGACGAUCCGUAGCUGGUCUGAGAGGAUGAUCAGCCACAUCGGGACUGAGACACGGCCCGAACUCCUACGGGAGGCAGCAGUGGGGAAUAUUGGACAAUGGGCGCAAGCCUGAUCCAGCCAUGCCGCGUGUGUGAAGAAGGCCCUCGGGUUGUAAAGCACUUUCAGUGGGGAAGAAAGCCUGGUGGUUAAUACCCGUCAGGAAGGACAUCACCCACAGAAGAAGCACCGGCUAACUCCGUGCCAGCAGCCGCGGUAAUACGGAGGGUGCGAGCGUUAAUCGGAAUUACUGGGCGUAAAGCGCGCGUAGGUGGCUUGAUAAGCCGGUUGUGAAAGCCCCGGGCUCAACCUGGGAACGGCAUCCGGAACUGUCAGGCUAGAGUGCAGGAGAGGAAAGGUAGAAUUCCCGGUGUAGCGGUGAAAUGCGUAGAGAUCGGGAGGGAAUACCAGUGGCGAAAGGCGGCCUUCUGGGACUGACACUGACACUGAGGUGCGAAAGCGUGGGUAGCAAACAGGAUUAGAUACCCUGGUAGUUCCACCGCCGUAAACGAUGUCGACUAGCCCGUUGGGUCCUUUCGGCGGACUUUGGUGGGCCGCAGGUAACGCGAUAGUCGACCCGCCUGGGGGAAGUUACG
rnacentral:rRNA from 1 species